rnacentral:rRNA from 1 species
AAUAGAUACCCAGGUAGUCCACGCCGUAAACGAUGUCGACUUGGAGGUUGUGCCCUUGAGGCGUGGCUUCCGGAGCUAACGCGUUAAGUCGACCGCCUGGGGAGUACGGCCGCAAGGUUAAAACUCAAAUGAAUUGACGGGGGCCCGCACAAGCGGUGGAGCAUGUGGUUUAAUUCGAUGCAACGCGAAGAACCUUACCUACUCUUGACAUCCAGAGAACUUGGCAGAGAUGCCUUGGUGCCUUCGGGAACUCUGAGAUAGGUGCUGCAUGGCUGUCGUCAGCUCGUGUUGUGAAAUGUUGGGUUAAGUCCCGCAACGAGCGCAACCCUUAUCCUUUGUUGCCAGCGGUUAGGCCGGGAACUCAAAGGAGACUGCCAGUGAUAAACUGGAGGAAGUGGGGAUGACGUCAAGUCAUCAUGGCCCUUACGAGUAGGGCUACACACGUGCUACAAUGGCGCAUACAAAGAGAAGCGACCUCGCGAGAGCAAGCGGACCUCAUAAAGUGCGUCGUAGUCCGGAUUGG